AUUCGAGAUGAUUCAAGAGAAAUGCAUAGAGUAUUCUCACACUGAUGCUCAUGUUUAAAGCAAAGAGCAGUUUGUACAGAUGAUAUUUAGAAGGUAGAGGACGCAGCAAGUUAUACGAAGCUGUCCUGUAGGGGCCGCUGUUAACAUAAAAC